rnacentral:rRNA from 1 species
AAAUCCGGUUCACUUUAACACUGAGGCGUGACGACGAGGCACUACGGUGCUGAAGCAACAAAUGCCCUGCUUCCAGGAAAAGCCUCUAAGCAUCAGGUAACAUCAAAUCGUACCCCAAACCGACACAGGUGGUCAGGUAGAGAAUACCAAGGCGCUUGAGAGAACUCGGGUGAAGGAACUAGGCAAAAUGGUGCCGUAACUUCGGGAGAAGGCACGCUGACACGUAGGUGAAGUGAUUUACUCAUGGAGCUGAAGUCAGUCGAAGAUACCAGCUGGCUGCAACUGUUUAUUAAAAACACAGCACUGUGCAAACACGAAAGUGGACGUAUACGGUGUGACGCCUGCCCGGUGCCGGAAGGUUAAUUGAUGGGGUCAGCGCAAGCGAAGCUCCUGAUCGAAGCCCCGGUAAACGGCGGCCGUAACUAUAACGGUCCUAAGGUAGCGAAAUUCCUUGUCGGGUAAGUUCCGACCUGCACGAAUGGCGUAAUGAUGGCCAGGCUGUCUCCACCCGAGACUCAGUGAAAUUGAACUCGCUGUGAAGAUGCAGUGUACCCGCGGCAAGACGGAAAGACCCCGUGAACCUUUACUAUAGCUUGACACUGAACAUUGAGCCUUGAUGUGUAGGAUAGGUGGGAGGCUUUGAAGUGUGGACGCCAGUCUGCAUGGAGCCGACCUUGAAAUACCACCCUUUAAUGUUUGAUGUUCUAACGUGGACCCGUUACCCGGGUUGCGGACAGUGUCUGGUGGGUAGUUUGACUGGGGCGGUCUCCUCCUAAAGAGUAACGGAGGAGCACGAAGGUUGGCUAAUCCUGGUCGGACAUCAGGAGGUUAGUGCAAUGGCAUAAGCCAGCUUGACUGCGAGCGUGACGGCGCGAGCAGGUGCGAAAGCAGGUCAUAGUGAUCCGGUGGUUCUGAAUGGAAGGGCCAUCGCUCAACGGAUAAAAGGUACUCCGGGGAUAACAGGCUGAUACCGCCCAAGAGUUCAUAUCGACGGCGGUGUUUGGCACCUCGAUGUCGGCUCAUCACAUCCUGGGGCUGAAGUAGGUCCCAAGGGUAUGGCUGUUCGCCAUUUAAAGUGGUACGCGAGCUGGGUUUAGAACGUCGUGAGACAGUUCGGUCCCUAUCUGCCGUGGGCGCUGGAGAACUGAGGGGGGCUGCUCCUAGUACGAGAGGACCGGAGUGGACGCAUCACUGGUGUUCGGGUUGUCAUGCCAAUGGCACUGCCCGGUAGCUAAAUGCGGAAGAGAUAAGUGCUGAAAGCAUCUAAGCACGAAACUUGCCCCGAGAUGAGUUCUCCCUGAGACUUAAAGUCUCCUGAAGGAACGUUGAAGACGACGACGUUGAUAGGCCGGGUGUGUAAG